rnacentral:lncRNA from 1 species
GUUACAGUUAGCCUGACUCUUGCUAACAAAAGAGAGUGUUUGCAUUGAAAUCCCUGUCAGUUCUUGGUCUACUUCCACACGUCUUCUAGGCUUCACCAAAGCCAACCUGAAAUGUUGAUUUCUUCUCCCAGGCACCAGCCAAUGUCAACAGGAAAUCUCUAUAUCUCUGUGCCUGAAGGCAACAGCACUCAACACCCCCUUAACUGCUCAAAGCGCUUUGCCAAGCUGUACUCGUCCCCUGCUUUGGCUGGGACAUGGAUGAAGAUAGCUGUCAUCCAUUCAGGGAAAUCAAACCCUUACAACAGCUCCUUCGCCAGGCACAUCUCCGUGUCCAACGGACAGUUCAUCGUGACGAACGCCAGCAAAGCCAUUGCAGGGAAUUUGAAGAUUGUGCAUGAGAUGGAUGAAAGGGAGUGUCUGGCUUCCAUCCAUCUGAAUGUAACAGGAAAGCGCCGCGGGUCACAAUUUCAGGGAGCCUGCGCCAACCUCAGCUCCGGCCUCCCUGGCCAGGGACGAUCACCUCUACAGGACGGCAGCGGGGAGUGAGUGAUGGAGCUGGAAAUGGGCUGCCGGGAUAGCCAGCUAAUUCUGGCUGCUGCCUGGCCCCCCGGCAGAUUGUCCAGGCCAGACAGCAAGGAACAGCACGGUGUCAGCUAGAGGCCAAGAGGCAGUCAGGAGAGAGGGUCUCUGCUCCCUGGUCCCAGCAGGGUUGGGAGUAGCACGGUCAGAUCUCCAUCUCCUGCUGAGAGCCGUCCAUGGCUUUACAUCCCUUCUCCUUGCCCGACUGCCGAUGGGUGGGGCAGAAUCUCCGGGUACUGACCGCUUGGCUCCCAGCCCCACGUCCAUGCCCAUCUAUGACUUGAUUUCUUGGGUGACACUUUAUAUUGAGGUUCCACAUUGAAGUAAUUUAGGAAGAGUUGAAUAGUGGCUGCAGGGUUUGUCUACACAGGGCCACUCAGGAAAAUUAAUCUGAAUGGAGUCAACGUGCAGGCUUUGGUCUGCACUACAGUGUUAGGUAGACAUAAGGCAGCUUACGUCACCCUCACUCUGUCAGUGCCUACGCUGAAAGGCAGCUCCCAGCCAUGGAACUUGCCCGCUGAAGCGACGGAAUAACUCCAGUUCCACGCGAGGCCUAAGGCUUGGGUGGAUGCAGUUAGAUCGAUGCCGGGGUGCUAAUAACAUCGCCUGUUGCUGCCUUUCAGACGCCAUCCCACCGUGCCCCACGCUGGCAGGUUGAGGACGCGUGCCGCUGACACAAGGGGCGUAGUGUGGACAUGCAAAAGCGAUUUAGUUACUGCCCUGGCUGUAUGUUGACGUAACUUAGGUCGACUUAAUUUUGUAGUGUAGACUUGCCCUGAAUUUAAAGUGGAUUCUUUAAACUUCACUGACCCUCGCUCCUGUGUGAACACUCUCAUUUGGAAUUGAAGUGGCCUAAAUUCAAUUCACUUUGGAAGUGAAUUAAGCUAAAUACAGUUCAGGCUGCCUUUAUUUUGAAGGAGAGCAUCCACACAGGGGUUUAAUUUGGUUUGACUAAUACAUUUUAAAAGUCAAUUCAGAUUAGUUUUCUUGAGUGCCCCUGAGUAGACAAGCACACUCGUUACCUGUGUCUGUAGCAUGCCGAGGCCGUAUAUCCACCACGUAUGAACACCUUAUAAACAAGUGAUCAAGUGAACCUUAAUCUAAAGUGUAUGGUGCCGAGCAGGCCCAGUCAUGGCCCAGCAGCUCACAGCGCUAGGCGCUGUACAUUAUCAAUUAGGUAUGUUACGAUAGCGCCUCGGAGUCCCAGGGAAAUUGGCAAACCCAUGAUUACCCAGGGACAGCGGAGCGUCUCGAAUUGGAAAAUCCCUUUUGCGUGCUGGGGUGGAGAAGCUGGAAAUUUUCGCUUGCUUUGACCAACUCUCCUGCUAAUGCAGCUCUCCCGUUGUUGCUUGCAGAGCCCGGAUCUCAGUCCAGCCAUAGUGUAGCGGUGGUGGUGGGGCAGUGGUGGUCUUUCUGCUGUUGGUGUUAGCACUGGGGCUAUGGCAGGGAAAUAAUAUUGCUCACCGCAUAUGCUGGUUCCGCAGCCAUCUUGGCUUCCGUGCCAGAGCCACCCCGUGCCAACAGGCUGGCGACGCAGGCCCCAUGCAGGAGCUGGCAGAGCUGACGCAGCCGGAGGACACCAGCGGUGGGAUCCGGUCAGCUGUGCUGAAUGGGGAACUUCUUGGCAAUGCUGAAAUGCUAAAUGCUGAGGGAUGGAGAGUGAUGAACCCUCCCAUCCUUCAAUAUCUGGUCAAUGUGCAGCAGCAGUCAAAAAAGCGAACAGAAUGUUGGGACUCAUUAAGAAAGGGACAGAAAAUAAGACAGAAAAUACCAUGUUGCCGCUACAUAAAUCCAUGGUAUGUCCACAUCAUGAAUACUGGGUGCAGAUGUGGUCGCCCCAUCUCAAAAAAGAUCCAUUGUAACUGAAAAAGGUACAGAUGUAGAGCUGAAGAAUGAAAUUUUCUUUUUACUUAGAUUGAAUUAUUAUUAUUAUGAAGACUUUAUUAAUAUGUCUUUAUUUUGUAUCAAAUGAACAAACAGAACUUCAUUUUCCAGGCACUGAAAAAGACCCCAAACAUCCCAAAUGGCAGGUGAUUGGAAAUGUUGCCUGGCGAUGUGCACUGGGGUUAUUCAGCGUCCGCUUCCAUCCGUGCAGCCCCAAACUGUCCCUUCUGGCUAGGGACACAGAUCCCGGGGGCUGGGGGGGCGCAUCUCUGCCCAGGAGGCCUGAGGACGUCCUCCACCCCUCCGGAGGCAUCCUCGGAACAUGUGGCACCGGUUGCCUGGCAGGGGCGCCUGGGACCCCGUAAUUCCUGCUUGGCUGCUUGGAAGAUGCCCUGGGGCCUGCUGGAUGUGCCAUGGGUGAGCAGGGCCCUGGCACAGGUGGGAGAUGGAGGAGCUCAGGUGGGGAGGUGUAGGGUGAUGCCGCAGGCUGGGUGCAGCGUGACCCUGUUCUGGCCAUGGGUUGGUGGGCCGCAGUGGGUGCCCCCUGGGGACUGAUGCCCUGGGGUGGAGUUGUGGCCAAGGUGAGAGUCAGAGAGGGAAGAAAAGGUGAGGGGGGUGGGACUUUGCCAGUGGGAAUCUGGUACCACAGCAAUUCUCCCCCCUGCCCCCUUGGCUGCUCUGCACCUGUGCCCCCACAGAUACUGGUCCCAUCCCCCCACUGAGACCGCCCCCCCACCUGCCUUCAAAAUAAUAUAGGCACCAAGGCCAUGUGUGUGUCGCCCCCUGCUGGAGGGGCUGGGCCCUGUGUGAUGCGUUCCCCCCAGGGUGCCACCUGGAACUGGGGUACCACUGAGCCCUCUGACCCACCAGCUGGAGCUCCCUCUCUCACUGUGCUGUAUGACAAGCUGCAGACCCGCUCCCGGUCCUACACUUUCAUCAGCAUUCACACAGGCAGGGCCACACCCAGCUGUAUUUACAUGCAGGCUCUGGCCAGCCACUGCAUGAACCAACAGUAGAGAGGCUCCAGCCAAAAUAACCCCCAGCUCCCUAGGCACACAUCCCCCAAACUGGGGUAUAAACCCAACAUGAUACCAUCUUGUACUGCUCAGGGAACUGUGUAGCACAAGCUCAUAGAGUUGGUCCCCCCCAACUCAAUGUGGAGAGGAAAUGCAGCAGCCCCCUGAGCUAAGAUUCCCACGCAGAUCAAGGCAGAUUACCUAGCAAAUAAACAAAACCACAAACUAAGCUUAACCUACUAG